GACGAACGCUGGCGGCGUGCUUAACACAUGCAAGUCGAACGGAAAGGCCCUGCUUUUGUGGGGUGCUCGAGUGGCGAACGGGUGAGUGACACGUGAGUAACCUGCCCUUGACUUUGGGAUAACUUCAGGAAACUGGGGCUAAUACCGGAUAGGAGCUCCUGCUGCAUGGUGGGGGGUGGAAAGUUUCGGCGGUUGGGGAUGGACUCGCGGCUUAACAGCUUGUUGGUUGGGGAGUGGUUUGCCGACGCCUUGGCGGGUAGCCGGCCUGGGAGGGUGAACGGCGACAUGGGGCCUGCGAGAGGGACCAGACGGCAAUGGGGGGCAGCGGUGGGGAAUCUUGCACAGUGGGAGGGAGCCGGAGGAGGAAACGUCGCGUGCGGAAUGACCGCCUGCGGGGUGUGAACCGCUUUCGCCUGAGACGAAGCGUGAGUGACGGUAAUGGGUGAAGAAGCACCGGCUAACUACGUG
rnacentral:rRNA from 1 species